GCAGGUGGAAUGAGAAGAGUCAAUGAAAGUGAGCUCUCCACUCAGCCUGUGGGAAGACCACAAUGGUGGCUGUGGCUACCCACAGCUGGACCAAGACUGGUACCAGAAGUCAUCGCUUGAAGGAAGGGACCUGCCUUCCUCCAGCUCCCAGAAGGUAUGAAUGUUUCACAGUGGUGUGGAUAGUGAUGGGGGCACAGUUGCUGGGGUUUCUAAACCUUCCAAGAUUGGCUUGUGCCUACAAGAAGGCUGGUCAGUAAUUUGAAUAUUCACUUUAUAUCUGGCAUGGAGCUAACUUUAUAUCAAAAUCUCAGACUUCUGCAGACUCAGUAUACAGGGAGAGAGAGGUCAGAACUUGUUUUGGUUUCUUUCCCCUUGUACUAAUGAGAUACAGGAGUCUGGAUGACUUAUUUCACAAG
rnacentral:lncRNA from 1 species